rnacentral:lncRNA from 1 species
GUUGAAGGUGGGUGGAAAAGAGGAUAAAGGCAUGGUAAACAUAGGAUGUAUUUUAGUUCCAUGGUGGACUGAAUGAAAACGUUUACAGAUGUUGAUACAUGUUUGCUUGCUUUUUCAAUUACAAUGAAGCAAAGUUCUAUCAACAGAUGUUGCCCAGGGCCAGUGCAGAGAGAACCAACCAGUGUUGGAAGCUGGAAGUCCAGGAUCAAAGUGUCAGCAUGGUUGGUUUCUGGUGAGGGUGUCUUCCUGGCUUGUAGACAGCACCAACAUGCUGCAACCUCACAUCGCAGGGAGAGAGACAGCACAAGAGAGAGCAAACACUGGUGUCUCUUCUCAUAAGGGCACGAAUCCCAUCAUGAAGGCCCCACUCUCAGGACUUCAUGUAACACUAAUUACCUCCCAGAGACUCCACUUCCAAAAACCAUCAUAUCGUGGGCUAGGACUUUAGCAUGUGAAUUUUGGGUGGAAAAAAUUCAGUCCAUGGCAGACAUAUAAAUGAUUUUGUCAAAUUUCAAGUCAAAGCUAAAUUUUCUCUAAGAUUAUACUGCUUAGCAUGGAAUUAAAUGAAAUAAUAUAUCUGAAAUGCUCAGAAAAGUGUCAAGUCC